UACGUAGGGUGCAAGCGUUGUCCGGAAUUAUUGGGCGUAAAGAGCUCGUAGGCGGUUUGUCGCGUCUGCUGUGAAAACCCGAGGCUCAACCUCGGGCCUGCAGUGGGUACGGGCAAACUAGAGUGCGGUAGGGGAGAUUGGAAUUCCUGGUGUAGCGGUGGAAUGCGCAGAUAUCAGGAGGAACACCGAUGGCGAAGGCAGCUCGCUGGGACGGUACUGACGCUGAGGCGCGAAAGCGUGGGGAGCAAACAGG
rnacentral:rRNA from 1 species